rnacentral:rRNA from 1 species
CCAAUAGCGUAUAUUAAAGUUGUUGCAGUUAAAAAGCUCGUAGUUGAACUUCGGGGUUCACCCAUUGGUCAGGCUUAAUUGUCUGUACUGGUGAGAUGAGUCUCUACCUUCUGAGGAACUUUCAUGCCAUUUGUUUGGUGUGAUGGGAAAUCAGGACUGUUACUUUGAAAAAAUUAGAGUGUUUAAAGCAGGCUAACGUCUGAAUACAUUAGCAUGGAAUAAUGAAAUAGGACGGAUUGAUUCUAUUUCGUUGGUUUCUAGGGUCACCGUAAUGAUUAAUAGGGAUAGUUGGGGGCAUUAGUAUUCAAUUGUCAGAGGUGAAAUUCUUGGAUUUAUUGAAGACUAACUACUGCGAAAGCAUUUGCCAAGGAUGUUUUCAUUAAUCAAGAACGAAAGUUAGGGGAUCGAAGACGAUCAGAUACCGUCGUAGUCUUAACCAUAAACUAUGCCGACUAGGGAUCGGACGAAGUUAAUUUUAUAAUGCCGCGUUCGGCACCUUACG